rnacentral:tRNA from 1 species
GGGCGUUUAGCUCAGUUGGUUAGAGCGUCGCCCUUACAAGGCGAAGGCCAGUGGUUCGAACCCACUAACGCCCACCA